ACUCCUACGGGAGGCAGCAGUGGGAAUAUUGCACAAUGGGGAAGCCCAUCGAUGCAGCCAUGCCGCGCUGUGUGAAGAAGGCCAAUUCGGGCUUGGUUAAAGACACUUUUCAGCGAGGAGGAAAGGGUGUGUGCUAAUACCAUACAUCUGUGACGUUACUCGCAGAAGAAGCACCGGCUAACUCCGUGCCAGCAGCCGCGGUAAUACGGAGGGUGCGAGCGUUAAUCGGAAUUACUGGGCGUAAAGCGUGCGCAGGCGGUCUGUUAAGCGAGAUGUGAAAG
rnacentral:rRNA from 1 species